rnacentral:rRNA from 1 species
GACGAACGCUGGCGGCGUGCUUAACACAUGCAAGUCGAACGGAAAGGCCCUGCUCUUGUGGGGUGCUCGAGUGGCGAACGGGUGAGUAACACGUGAGUAACCUGCCCUUGACUUUGGGAUAACUUCAGGAAACUGGGGCUAAUACCGGAUAGGAGCUCCUGCUGCAUGGUGGGGGUUGGAAAGUUUCGGCGGUUGGGGAUGGACUCGCGGCUUAUCAGCUUGUUGGUGGGGUAGUGGCUUACCAAGGCUUUGACGGGUAGCCGGCCUGAGAGGGUGACCGGCCACAUUGGGACUGAGAUACGGCCCAGACUCCUACGGGAGGCAGCAGUGGGGAGUAUUGCACAAUGGGCGGAAGCCUGAUGCAGCAACGCCGCGUGCGGGAUGACGGCCUUCGGGUUGUAAACCGCUUUCGCCUGUGACGAAGCGUGAGUGACGGUAAUGGGUAAAGAAGCACCGGCUAACUACGUG